GAUGAAGAACGUAGCGAAAUGCGAUACGUAAUGUGAAUUGCAGAAUUCAGUGAAUCAUCGAGUCUUUGAACGCACAUUGCGCUCCUUGGUAUUCCGAGGAGCAUGCCUGUUUGAGUGUCAUUAAUAUAUCAACCUUCUCUUUUUUGAGUUGUUUGGAUGUGGGGGUUUGCUGGCCUCUUAAAUGAUUCAGCUCCCCUGAAAUGCAUUAGCAGAACAACCUGUUCAUUAGCGUGAUAAUUAUCUAUGCUAUUGAAUGUGAGGGCAGUUCAGCUUUCUAACCGUCCUUGGACAAUUCAUCAUUAAUGUGACCUCAAAUCAGGUAGGACUACCCGCUGAACUUAAGCAUAUCAAUAAGCGGAGGA
rnacentral:misc_RNA from 1 species